rnacentral:rRNA from 1 species
CCUACGGGAGGCAGCAGUGAGGAAUAUUGGUCAAUGGUCGCGAGCCUGAACCAGCCAAGUAGCGCGAAGGAUGACUGCCCUACGGGUUGUAAACUGCUUUUAUAAAGGAAUAAAGUGCGGCACGUGUGCCUUUUUGUAUGUACUUUAUGAAUAAGGACCGGCUAACUCCGUGCCAGCAGCCGCGGUAAUACGGAGGGUCCGAGCGUUAUCCGGAUUUAUUGGGUUUAAAGGGAGCGUAGAUGGGUUGUUAAGUCAGUUGUGAAAGUUCGCGGCUCAACCGUAGAAUUGCAAUGGAUACUGGCAGGCUUGAGUGCAGUGGAGGUAGGCGGAAUUCGUGGUGUAGCGGUGAAAUGCUUAGAUAUCACGAAGAACUCCGAUUGCGAAGGCAGCUUACGAAACUGCUACUGACACUGAUGCUCGAAAGCGUGGGUAUCAAACAGGAUUAGAUACCCUGGUAGUC